GGGAUGAUGUUCCAGUCGAGACUCAAGAAAAGGAUUCUGAGCCUUAGAGCUUUGAAGGAGCCCCUUGCUGGCC
rnacentral:snoRNA from 14 species